GUUCAGUAAAAUUCAAAUCAAAUAGCAACAGAGUCCUUUGUGUUUAUGCAUCCGCUUGUAUUCCUGAGUCGUAUGUGUCACCAGCUUUCCAGUUUUCAGGUAUAUUAUUGACAGGAUCAACCCAUGUCUCAUCUUCAUCAUCAACACUCAAUAGCAUUCUGAUUUGCAGAGGUCCCCUUGGAGGUGAAGUAGUAGUCCACACUGCUCCACGUGUCCUAUCCAGCAGCUUACAUACAAAAUUUUGUGUCUCACAUAGUUGCACAGCUGUAAUAUCCUUUUUGCCUUGUUGAUACCAUAUCACAAAAGCCAAGUAAUGAGGAUUGUCGCUGCUCUCUUCAAUCUUGAUUGUAAUAUUUUUGUCCGGGUAGGUGCAUGAGACCCUUCUGUAUUCAAUAUCCACCACACCAAGUGGCAAUAUAGAAGCAGCAGCAUCUGUUGU
rnacentral:misc_RNA from 1 species